rnacentral:rRNA from 1 species
GGGGGCUAGCGUUGUUCGGAAUUACUGGGCGUAAAGCGCACGUAGGCGGCUUUGUAAGUCAGAGGUGAAAGCCUGGAGCUCAACUCCAGAACUGCCUUUGAAACUACAUCGCUAGAAUCAUGGAGAGGUAAGUGGAAUUCCGAGUGUAGAGGUGAAAUUCGUAGAUAUUCGGAAGAACACCAGUGGCGAAGGCGACUUACUGGACAUGUAUUGACGCUGAGGUGCGAAAGCGUGGGGAGCAA